rnacentral:rRNA from 1 species
UACGUAGGGGGCAAGCGUUGUCCGGAAUCAUUGGGCGUAAAGAGCGUGUAGGCGGUUCGCAAAGUCUGGUGUGAAAACUUGAGGCUCAACCUCAAGCUGUCACUGGAUACUGGCGGACUUGAAUCUGGAAGAGGAGAGUGGAAUUCCUGGUGUAGCGGUGGAAUGCGCAGAUAUCAGGAGGAACACCUAUGGCGAAGGCAGCUCUCUGGUACAUGAUUGACGUGAGACGCGAAAGCGUGGGGAGCGAACAGG